rnacentral:lncRNA from 1 species
GUAAGAAAGAAGUAGCAGAAGAAGCCAAAGCAGCAGAAGAAAAAAAGCCCUUUAUUGUAUACAGCAGUCUUUUUACAGUAUUGUGAACAAAGAAGGCAGCCUUCCAACAGCAAUAAAUCAGGUCUUUAGGCUAGUUAAACAUAGUAUACAGAAGUCUUACUUCCUAAUCAGAAGUGACCCCCUUCUCAUGGCUUAAUCUGCUCUUGGCCCAGAGCAUACUGAGCUCUGUGCUUUGUUAAGAGCAGACAAAAAUUUUCUCAGCACCCUACUUGCCCACUUGGCAGAACUUGUCCUACCAAGGACAGCAAAUACCUCAUUUUCAAGCAUGUCUGAUGUUACCUAUCUAAACCUUGAAGGAACCUCCCAUUUGCAGGCAGGCCCCAUCAGAGACAACAAACAUCUCUUGUGCAAGUAUGCUUGCUGUCACCUUAUCUAGACCUUGACAGACAUCCCAUUUGCAGGCAUGUGGGAAGCCAUUCUUGCACGUGAUUGGGCUACCUCCCUGACUGGGUGUGAGGUGCUCAGACCAACUGUGUCAGAGUUUUUUUCCCCACCCUUUCCAAGUGUGAGGGCUUGUCUGUGUAAGGGUGUGACUGACCAUUGACCUGGAAACCAAUCACUGACCCUGACCUUGGAAUGCUGUCCCCCUCAACCUUCAUUGGAUGGAAUUUUCCCUUGAAUUUUUUGUUCCCCAAUAAAUCCUCAAUUUCUGUCGUGCUUCUU